rnacentral:rRNA from 1 species
UACGUAGGGUGCGAGCGUUAAUCGGAAUUACUGGGCGUAAAGAGUGCGUAGGCGGAUAUACAAGUUAGAUGUGAAAUACCUGGGCUUAACCUGGGAGGUGCAUUUAAGACUGUAUGUCUAGAGUUUGUCAGAGGGGGGUAGAAUUCCAAGUGUAGCAGUGAAAUGCGUAGAGAUUUGGAGGAAUACCAAUGGCGCAGGCAGCCCCCUGGGAUAAGACUGACGCUGAGGCACGAAAGCGUGGGUAGCAAACAGG